GACGAACGCUGGCGGCGUGCCUAAUACAUGCAAGUAGAACGCACAGUUUAUACCGUAGCUUGCUACACCAUAAACUGUGAGUUGCGAACGGGUGAGUAACGCGUAGGUAACCUGCCUGGUAGCGGGGGAUAACUAUUGGAAACGAUAGCUAAUACCGCAUAAUAUUGAUUAUUGCAUGAUAAUUGAUUGAAAGAUGCUAUUGCAUCACUACCAGAUGGACCUGCGUUGUAUUAGCUAGUAGGUGAGGUAACGGCUCACCUAGGCGACGAUACAUAGCCGACCUGAGAGGGUGAUCGGCCACACUGGGACUGAGACACGGCCCAGACUCCUACGGGAGGCAGCAGUAGGGAAUCUUCGGCAAUGGACGAAAGUCUGACCGAGCAACGCCGCGGGAGGGAAGAAGGUUUUCGGAUCGGAAAGCUCUGUUGUAAGAGAAGAACGGGUGUGAGAGUGGAAAGUUCACACUGUGACGGUAUCUUACCAGAAAGGGACGGCUAACUACGUG
rnacentral:rRNA from 1 species